AAAAGGGACAAGGAAAAAAGAAAGAAUUAGGUCAAUUAAACUCAAUGGUCCCAAAUGAAAUCCUGCUGAAGGGUAGUCCAUAGAAAAGUCCUUGGAAUUAAAUAAAUAGCUGCAUGUAGCAGCAGAGUUUAAAUACCUUCUCACAGUCUCCCACACAGAUCUUACUUUACAAGAGCCCACAAAUGAACUUGGUCCCAGGUGUGACACAUUCAACCGGCAUUUAACAUCAGGCCCUGCCGUUUGGAAAGCAUUGCAUGAGUCAUGCCAGCCCCAUAGGCUGGGGAUGACAGCACUGCUCUUCGUGCAGAGGUCAUUUCAGGUAAUCAAUGCAAACAGAGCUUGGAAGAUAAACUUUUUGGAGCCACUCAUUACUGGUGUCUGGAGAGCAACGCAUAGAGCAAACCAGUCGGAAUCUCUGCCUGAGAGAGCAUUAACAACCCUGAGCAACAGAUGCUGGUGGGAAGACCCUUUUGUACAGAGGGUGAUGUGAGUGUACAAACAUUCCAGAGGUGGGAUCCUCUCCAGGAUGAGAGGAAAUGGCCUCAAGUUGCACCAGGGCAGGUUCAGAUUAGACAUCGGGAAGAAUUUCUUCACCAAGAGGGUUCUCAGCACUAGAAAGGGCUGCCCAGGGAAGUGAUGGAGUCUCCGUCUCUGGAGGUGUAUAAGAGCUGGGCAGAUGACGUGCUCAGAGAUAUCGUUUAAUGGUAGACAGAUACAAUUGGACUGGAUCUCAAAGACUUUUUUGCAACCAGGUAAUUCCAUGAUUAUAUGAUUCUAAGUGACACCUCCUUAGUUGAUUCCAAGGCCACCCACAACGAUGGCAGCUGAACGUCCCUCAAACCCAGACCCUGGCCAAUCACCCAUGGUCACAACUCACAGAAUCACAGAAUGACCAAAGCGGGGAAGGACCCACAAGGACCAUCAAGUCCAACUCCUGUCCCUGCACAGUACAACCCCAACAUUUAUACCAUGGGGCUGAGGGCAUUGGACAAACGCUGCUGGAAUAUUGACAAGCUUCAUGCUGUGACUACUUCCCUGGGAGCUGUUCCAGGGUUCCAUCACCCUCUGAGAGAAGAACCUGCUCCUAAUGUCCAGCCUAACCCUUUCCCGGCACAGCUUCCCGCCAUUCCCUCGGGUCCAGAGAGAAGAGCUCAGCGCCUGCUCCUCCUCCUCCCCUCGUGAGGAAGCUGCAGACCAUGAUGAGGUCUCCCCACAUUCUCCUCUUCUCCAGGCUGAACAGACUCAGCGACUUCAGCCGCUCCUUACACGCUUCACCUCUAAACCUUUCACCGAGUCUCUUCGAGUUCUCCGUGGGGAACUCACAGGGCCGGACCCCUCCCGGCCAGUGCUGCCCGGGGCCGCAGCUGCAGCACGGAUUCACUGAGAAGAGAAACUGAACCGGGAAUGAUGAUACCGGUUCGUUCACUACAGCUGCAUCCAUUGCAUCGGCAACAUAAACACGUGGUGUGAGGACCAAGUCCCAUAGAAGAUGGACAGCUGUGCACCAAAGGAGCCCUGUAGAUCAGGAAGCCUCCUUAAAUGAGCCUCUGCAAUCCACUCUGAACAUAUCCUCCCUUCCUGAAAUUUUCCUUCAGGAUAAUUAAGCAUGCAGUAAGUUAAGAAGUGGAAAAAUCCAAGAAAGCAUCCCUUUCGCAGGUUGAGAACUUAAUCAGCCGUCACAAUUCUUUAGUGCUGAACAUUUCCCCCAAAACUCCUGCCAGGUGAGGUAUUGGUUCAUUUGAGGUCACGCAGCAGGCUUAAGGAAAUGCUGAAAGCAUUUGGGAGAUCUUAGACUCAUGGAAUCAUAGAAUGGUUUGGCUGGAAGCAACCUUAAAGAUCAUCCAGUUCCAACCCGCUGCCAUGGGCAGGGACACCUCCCACUGGAUCACGGGCUCCAAACCCCAUCCAACCUGGCCUUGAACACCUCCAGGGGUGGGGCAGCCAUGGCUUUUCUGGGCACCCUCAUCACGAAGAAUUUCUUUCUAAUGUCUAGUCUCAAUAUUCCCCCCUGCAAUUUAAAGCCAUUCCCCCUUGUCUCAUCUCUACCUGCCCUUGUAAUGGUGGCUCAGGGUGCAACUGCUGCUUCUUGGGCAAAGAGCAAUGCAUGAAUCGAGCAGCACACUAAGUACCAUCCUUUUAAAAAGGCACAAACGCAACACAUUCAGGUGCCCCAUGUGUCUUGGAAUUCAGCCAUGAUUUAUAGUCUUGCUGUGUGAGAAGUCGAGACCAGAGGUGUGUAAUACUUUAUCCCUGUUAUUUACAAGCAGUGGGAGAACAUUCUACGAAAAGGGAGCAGCUAAUUUUAGGCGAAAACAUAGUUCAGCGUGCCAACCCUUCCAAAGGGGGAAGGAAUGUAUCCAGCUUGAGUGCCGUUAGCUACAAGCUGCUCUGGGGGACUUAGGUGUUUAUGCCACCUCCAGGACCUUAAAUCUUUCGUGUGCAGACAUAAUCCUUCCGUGUGACAUUGAUAGAAGGAGCUGUUAUGGAAAUGAUUGUGAAAUCCCUUAUCUUAUGGAAGGGGAGAAGGAGGAGGUGCAUCUGAAGUGGUUUGCAGUGUGAUAAUGCUCUCUAGCCCCACAUCCCAAUGGAGUCUCCAACUGCUAAUUAAUUAAGAGUCAGAAUUAUCCAGGGGCUGAUUUGGUAUUGCACAGAGACCCAAACUGACCUGAGUGAAAUAUGGGGGGCUUGAUUCCCAGCUGGGAUGCCCUAUACUUGGAGGGAGGAGAUGGACGCUGAAUUUAAACCACCCACUACACACUCCCUAUAGUUUUCUUCACCUUCUGCUGUGCUUCCAAGUGCAAUCUGCUUGGAUGGGGAGGGAACUGCAUGGCAAAGGGCAUCCUGCAUAGGCUCCUGCCCUCUGCUUUGCGCUGGCCCCAGGUAAAUACUGAGACCUUGCACCACCUCUGCCCUGAGAAGGUCCCUUACUCAAAGGAACGGCU